CCUACGGGAGGCUGCAGUAAGGAAUAUUGGUCAAUGGACGCAAGUCUGAACCAGCCAUGCCGCGUGGAGGAUGAAGGUCCUCUGGAUUGUAAACUUCUUUUAUUUGGGAAGAAACUCCCGAUUUCCAUCGGGAUUGACGGUACCAGAUGAAUAAGCACCGGCUAACUCCGUGCCAGCAGCCGCGGUAAUACGGAGGGUGCAAGCGUACUGCGGAUUCAGUGGGCGUAGGUGGUGAGUUAAGGCACAGGUAAAAUCUCCGGGCUUAACCCGGAAACUGCCAUUGAUACUAUUUGUCUUGAAUACGGUGGAGGUGAGCGGAAUAUGUCAUGUAGCGGUGAAAUGCUUAGAUAUGACAUAGAACACCCAUUGCGAAGGCAGCUCACUACGGAAAUAUUGACGCUGAGGCACGAAAGCGUGGGGAUCAAACAGGAUUAGAUACCCCGGUAGUC
rnacentral:rRNA from 1 species